rnacentral:rRNA from 1 species
CCUACGGGCGGCAGCAGUGGGGAAUAUUGCACAAUGGGGGAAACCCUGAUGCAGCGACGCCGCGUGAGUGAAGAAGUAUUUCGGUACGUAAAGCUCUAGCAGCAGGGAAGAAAAUGACGGUACCUGACUAAGAAGCCCCGGCUAACUACGUGCCAGCAGCCGCGGUAAUACGUAGGGGGCAAGCGUUAUCCGGAUUUACUGGGUGUAAAGGGAGCGUAGACGGCAGCGCAAGUCUGGAGUGAAAUCCCAUGGCUUAACCAUGGAACUGCUUUGGAAACUGUGCAGCUAGAGUGCAGGAGAGGUAAGCGGAAUUCCUAGUGUAGCGGUGAAAUGCGUAGAUAUUAGGAGGAACACCAGUGGCGAAGGCGGCUUACUGGACUGUAACUGACGUUGAGGCUCGAAAGCGUGGGGAGCAAACAGGAUUAGAUACCCCAGUAGUC